ensembl:lncRNA
GCCACUAGGUGGCGCAAUCGGGUUUCACCUUCAGUCUGACUUCCUCGGCUGCUUGACAGAUCCUGCAAAUGAUUUAGUCUUAAAAGCUGUUAAUGUCUCAUCUUUUAGCUCAUCUGCAAACAAAGCCGACGCACAGUCUGAUAAAACGAGUGUCACGCGACUCACCUGUAAGUAACUCUCUGAGUGUUUGUUUGAGUUUGUGUAUGUGAAUGUAAGAAAUGUCAGAGCAGGGCAGCUUUGUCAGUUCAUUUAGAGUCAUGUAACGAUAGAUUCAACAGACACAGAGCGAAAACACUUGGAACAAAAGCCUCAAAAGAUGGAUUUCGAUGAGGUCUUUAACCUAAAAUGAUGUUGUUUAAAAUGUGUUUGUUACUGGACAGCUAGCAGUGUAUUCAGACACUCACAUCUUCUGUGAAGGUUGAUCACAGACUGUGUUUACAUGCUGAACCUGUCAGACCUUCAGAAUAACAAAUCAAUCAGUUGUUGUGCUACAUUAAUAAUCUUUAAAUGAAAGUAGAAUAAUAAGGAAUCGUGCUGUUUGCCUCUUUUGGAAGUAUUUGAAUGAAUAUGCACAUUUAUUUAAUUAAAAACCUCUUAACUAAACUGGGGAUACAAGCAGAUUAAAUUAAAAGAUUAUUAAAGGUACAGGAUUGUUUACUUAUAAUAGACUCUGCAAAAUUUUUACACUGUUUAGGAAUUCAGUAUAGACAUUUAAUUUAUAUUUGUUAACUAUUAUUUAAUUUAUUUUUUAGAUAUUUUUUUUUUUUAGAUGCAGUAUGUCUAAUAAUGUGUGUAUGUGUGUGUCUUGUCUCCAGAAGAAGUGAUGUGUUGUUGGUUGGAAGCAGAGCUCUGGACGUGUGGACAGAUGUUGACUGUAAUGAUGGACAUCUGCUCAUGGACAGUGUGUGCAAAAGUAUAACCGCUGCGGGUCACAGUGCUGGAAGCUCCAGGGGGAGACCGUACUGAUAUCCCCCUUCUUCAGGCGCGCCUUCACACACACUCCUCCAUUCACUCGUAUCGCAGAGACCUGGCUGGGAUCGAACCAGCAACCUCUGAACCGUGAGGCAGCGCUCUUACCUGCGAGCCACAGAUCUCUUGCUGGAGCACCUGAAGGAACUUAUAUUUGACUGUUUACCUGUGAUUACCCAAUAAAGAAGUUAAAAUAAGCUGGGUAUAUGAUUUU